rnacentral:rRNA from 1 species
AGCGAACGCUGGCGGCAGGCCUAACACAUGCAAGUCGAACGAACUCUUCGGAGUUAGUGGCGGACGGGUGAGUAACACGUGGGAACGUGCCUUUUGGUUCGGAAUAACUCAGGGAAACUUGUGCUAAUACCGAAUGUGCCCUUCGGGGGAAAGAUUUAUCGCCAUUAGAGCGGCCCGCGUCUGAUUAGCUAGUUGGUGAGGUAACGGCUCACCAAGGCGACGAUCAGUAGCUGGUCUGAGAGGAUGACCAGCCACACUGGGACUGAGACACGGCCCAGGCUCCUACGGGAGGCAGCAGUGGGGAAUCUUGCGCAAUGGGCGAAAGCCUGACGCAGCCAUGCCGCGUGAAUGAUGAAGGUCUUAGGAUUGUGAAAUUCUUUAACCGGGGACGAUAAUGACGGUACCCGGAGAAGAAGCCCCGGCUAACUUCGUG